AGGAAAGGUUUGCCAACCGCUGGAUGAGAUAAAUAAAAGAGAUAAAAAGAGAAAGACCGAGGAGGAGAGAAAAGAGCAACAUGAGAGUAAGGGGCCAAUCCAGGGGCCACUUUCAUUUCUGACUGUGAGACUACGUGUAAGGGGAACCUGAAGAACCAGGAAGUAACACCGGUGUCCUCAAAGAGAUCAGGACAACAUGGAUAAACUAGGAUAUCCACUUGUUAAUUUCUCUAUGGAAUGCAUCAUAUUGUUUAAAUCCAAAUUAGGGACAGACUGAACAUUCUUUGCAAUUCCACCUAUGUGCUGCAGCAGCUGACGGGAAGCCGACUUUGCCACAGCUGAAACCUUCUCUAAAAAGUACAGUUAAAAAAAUCAUGCGUCCAAGAAGAGAAAAAGAAUACUGUUGAAUUCACUAUUGAAGUUUAGAAAUGAGAAGAAAGGGAUGAUGUGCUGCAGGGGGAGAGCUGAGAAGGAAUGCCAUUAGAACAGAAAGAGGAAUUUGGAUACAAGUACUGGAAGUCAUAUAGCAAUUUGGGAGCAGGGUUCUUAAACACACAUGCACAUAGACACACAUAUACAACCCUAUUUAGCAACCUGUCGGGAUUUCUCCAUGAGAUUCUUAUUCUCGCAGCUCUCAGGCUAGGCCCCAUUAUAGGAACUGAUCAUAAUUCAUCUACUUCAAGCCUAUUUAUAUGAUUUGCACAAGUUCACAAAAACUUUGCCAAUUUGCCUGUGAAAUGCACAUGUCAAUUACCCUUCAAUGGUUCAACAACCCAGGACCCUGAGCCCACUGGCAUUUCACAGAGCACUGAGAGACUUUGUCUUCAGUCCACCCCAAAGUACCCCAGCCCUGCCAUCAAUAAUAACACAAAUGAGUUUCCUCAGAGUCAGACCAGGAGUGUCAGCAGUGAAUUGUUGGGGAGAUCUGGGAACUCCCCAUGGCUCCAUGGGUGUUCCUGAAUUUCACUCUCCAGGCUAUCACUUUUUCCAAGUUUCUUUAUUGCUCCAUUACCAGGAAAAAAACAGGGUGUUAAAAAGAGCCAGGCUGCUCUCACACCCCAAAUGACCUGUAGCAGAGUCAGCAACAGGCCAAAACAUGCACAAGAGUGAAGACGUUUUUCUUCCCCAGAUUUCUCCCUGCUGCUUGUGAAGUUGGAAGCACUGUUGCUGGCUCAGCGGGAAGAGGCAACAGUUGUCUUGUGCACCUGUGCCCUAAAUCUCCUCUACUGGUGAUGAGCCCUUUACAUCUCCAGGGAUGCAAUUUCCCCUCCCUCAAGUUUCUCCCUUCCAAUAGAACUUGUGUGUAUGAAAGCUGAAUUAACCACAUUCCGACUUCAGGAAUGCAACGGUCUCUUUCAAAAUGUUUCCAAAACAAGGGAGCAAUGGCAGCUAUUAAUCCAAGAACUUAGAUCCAACAAUUCUCUCCAAAAAUACAAAAUAACAAUUUUCAGCCCAGCAAGAAUGUAUGACAAGUAAAUUGAUUUAUGAAAAUGCAUUAGCAUUUUACACAGAAAAAAAUAAAGAUUUCUUAAAGAUAAACUGUAUUACUUGCAAGCUGCUUGCUUUCAGC
rnacentral:lncRNA from 10 species